GACAGAGGGUGCAAACGUUGUUCGGAAUUACUGGGCGUAAAGCGCGUGUAGGCGGCUAAGUAAGUCGGGCGUGAAAUCCCACGGCUCAACCGUGGAAGUGCACUCGAAACUGCAUAGCUAGAGUCCUGGAGAGGAAGGUGGAAUGCUUGGUGUAGAGGUGAAAUUCGUAGAUAUCAAGCGGAACACCGGUGGUCGAAGGCGGCCUUCUGGACAGUGACUGACGCUGAGACGCGAAAGCGGUGGGGAGCAAACAGGG
rnacentral:rRNA from 1 species